UGCGCAGGCGGGGCAAUAAGUCAGUGGUGAAAUCCUGCGGCUUAACCGUAGAACUGCCAUUGAUACUGUUGUCCUUGAGUAUAGUUGAGGUGGGCGGAAUAUGUAAUGUAGCGGUGAAAUGCAUAGAUAUUACAUAGAACACCGAUUGCGAAGGCAGCUCACUAAGCUAUCACUGACGCUGAGGCACGAAAGCGUGGGGAGCGAACAGGAUUAGAUACCCUGGUAGUCC
rnacentral:rRNA from 1 species